rnacentral:lncRNA from 1 species
GAAGAUGAGUGGGACAAAACCCAAGACACCAUGGAAGCUGUCAUGGCCCUGGAGAAGAACUUGUACCAGGAACCAGGCCCUGUUGGAUCUUCAUGCCCUGGGUUCUGCCUGCACAGAUCCCCAUCUCUGUGACUUCUUGGAGAGCCACUUCCUAGAUGAGGAAGUGAAACUCAUUAAGAUGGGUGACCACGUGACCAACCUCCGCAGGCUAGUUGGCUCCUAUGUUGAGCUGGGCAAGUGUCUCUUCAAAAGGCUCAUCAUCAAACA